AAAUGGUUUUCACAUGCCAAUAUAAAGUGCUAAAAAAUAAAAAGUGGUCAAACAAUUAUCUAUUUGUUACACACAAAGGAGAAGAAAUAUGGCAUCAAUUCUUAAGUUUGUUUAUAUUAUGAUCAUAUAUCUUUCUGUACUUCUUGUUGUCAUUGAAGGCUACCCAUUUCAAGAAUGUAAAGUAGACGCAGAUUGCCCAACUGUUUGUACCUUACCAGGCUGUCCAGAUAUUUGUUCCUUUCCUGAUGUUCCGACAUGCAUUGAUAAUAAUUGUUUUUGUACUUAACAGUCGAGAAUAAAAAUAUCAUUGCAGAAUUAUAAAUGAACUGCAAUAAAUAAUGAUAAUGUGAUUACUGAUUAUAUAAAACCAUGUUGCCUUGUGUGGCAAGGGAGGUGUGAGGGUUUGUUUUCCUUGUAUCUCCAAGUGGACACCUUGUUCUCUUGUUUGUGCUUGUGAGUUGUGACCAAUAAAUUGUUUUCUUUUAAAAAUAUAUAUUAAAUAAAGAUAAUAUUAUUAUUGCCAUCCUUAAA